AAGAUACUAGUAAAAUGUAUUAUUACACUAUCUUGUCGAGAUAGAAUUGGGGGUUUAACUCCCCCGUGUCUUA
rnacentral:tRNA from 1 species